rnacentral:rRNA from 1 species
GACGGGGGAUGCAAUCGUUAUCCGGAAUCACUGGGCGUAAAGCGUCUGUAGGAGGUUAUGCAAGACACUGGUGCAACACUCUGGCUCAACCGGAGGAAUGCCAGUGAAACUGCAUGACUAGAGUGAGGGAGAGGUAGAAGGAAUUCCCUGAGUAGCGGUGAAAUGCGUAGAUACAGGGAAGAACACCGGAGGCGAAAGCGUUCUACUGGAACACAACUGACACUGAGAGACGAAAGCUAGGGGAGCGAAUGGG